rnacentral:rRNA from 1 species
AUUGAACGCUGGCGGCAUGCUUUACACAUGCAAGUCGGACGGCAGCACAGAGAAGCUUGCUUCUUGGGUGGCGAGUGGCGAACGGGUGAGUAACAUAUCGGAACGUACCGAGUAAUGGGGGAUAACUAAUCGAAAGAUUAGCUAAUACCGCAUAUUCUCUGAGGAGGAAAGCAGGGGACCUUUUGGCCUUGCGUUAUUCGAGCGGCCGAUAUCUGAUUAGCUAGUUGGUGGGGUAAAGGCCUACCAAGGCGACGAUCAGUAGCGGGUCUGAGAGGAUGAUCCGCCACACUGGGACUGAGACACGGCCCAGACUCCUACGGGAGGCAGCAGUGGGGAAUUUUGGACAAUGGGCGCAAGCCUGAUCCAGCCAUGCCGCGUGUCUGAAGAAGGCCUUCGGGUUGUAAAGGACUUUUGUCAGGGAAGAAAAGGCUGUUGCUAAUAUCGACAGCUGAUGACGGUACCUGAAGAAUAAGCACCGGCUAACUACGUGCCAGCAGCCGCGGUAAUACGUAGGGUGCGAGCGUUAAUCGGAAUUACUGGGCGUAAAGCGAGCGCAGACGGUUACUUAAGCAGGAUGUGAAAUCCCCGGGCUCAACCUGGGAACUGCGUUCUGAACUGGGUGACUAGAGUGUGUCAGAGGGAGGUAGAAUUCCACGUGUAGCAGUGAAAUGCGUAGAGAUGUGGAGGAAUACCGAUGGCGAAGGCAGCCUCCUGGGAUAACACUGACGUUCAUGCUCGAAAGCGUGGGUAGCAACAGG